GACGAACGCUGGCGGCGUGCUUAACACAUGCAAGUCGAACGGAAAGGCCCUGCUUUUGUGGGGUGCUCGAGUGGCGAACGGGUGAGUAACACGUGAGUAACCUGCCCUUGACUUUGGGAUAACUUCAGGAAACUGGGGCUAAUACCGGAUAGGAGCUCCUGCUACAUGGUGGGGGUUGGAAAGUUUCGGCGGUUGGGGAUGGACUCGCGGCUUAUCAGCUUGUUGGUGGGGUAGUGGCUUACCAAGGCUUUGACGGGUAGCCGGCCUGAGAGGGUGACCGGCCACAUUGGGACUGAGAUACGGCCCAGACGCCUACGGGAGGCAGCAGUGGGGAAUAUUGCACAAUGGGCGGAAGCCUGAUGCAGCAACGCCGCGUGCGGGAUGACGGCCUUCGGGUUGUAAACCGCUUUCGCCUGUGACGAAGCGUGAGUGACGGUAAUGGGUAAAGAAGCACCGGCUAACUACGUG
rnacentral:rRNA from 1 species